UACGAAGGGGGCUAGCGUUGCUCGGAAUUACUGGGCGUAAAGGGAGCGUAGGCGGAUAGUUCAGUCAGAGGUGAAAGCCCAGGGCUCAACCUUGGAAUUGCCUUUGAUACUGGCUGUCUUGAGUAUGGGAGAGGUUAGCGGAACUCCGAGUGUAGAGGUGAAAUUCGUAGAUAUUCGGAAGAACACCAGUGGCGAAGGCGGCUAACUGGCCCAUUACUGACGCUGAGGCUCGAAAGCGUGGG
rnacentral:rRNA from 1 species